UACGUAUGGAGCAAGCGUUAUCCGGAUUUACUGGGUGUAAAGGGAGCGUAGACGGCUUGGCAAGUCUGAUGUGAUAGGUGUGGGCUCAACCCGCAAACUGCAUUGGAAACUGUCUGGCUGGAGUGUCUGAGAGGUAAGUGGAAUUCCUAGUGUAGCGGUGAAAUGCGUAGAUAUUAGGAGGAACACCAGCGGCGAAGGCGGCUUACCGGACGAUAACUGACGUUGAGGCUCGAAAGCGUGGGGAGCAAAC
rnacentral:rRNA from 1 species